ACUCCGCCUGCAGCCCAGCUGCCAGCGCCGUCUCCCGCGGCCGCCGCCGCCCGACAGCGCGCCCGGAACAUGCCAGCCUCGCGCAGCCUGCGCUGACUUCCCCGAGACGCGCCGCGGUCGGCACGGAGACUUUCUGGGCUCUGGAUGGUUCGUGCGCUGCUCACCCUCGCCCACCCCUGACGCCGCGGACCGCAGCUCCUCAGCCCCGCAGCCCCGCAGCCCAGCAGCCCCGCAGCGGCGCCGAGGACAGUGCAGCCGAGUUGCGUCUCCCUCGCGCGAGAUCGCCGGCCCCAGGCGGGCUCCCGGCGCUGAGCGGAGACGAGUUUUUCUCCCCGCAGAGGAGGAUCCUGGAAGGACGCGGAGCUGGGGCUUGGGGGAUGCAGUGGCCUGGACGAGGUGACUCCAACCCGGGGGAGCAGAGUCCGUCACGCCGGCAGGGACCGAGGGUCUCUG
rnacentral:lncRNA from 1 species